AAAAAUCCUUAAUCCGUGGGUGGGUGGCUGUUACAACCCCUCUAGUCUAGCCCCUGCGAACGCCCCUGUAAGGAUACGUAUAAUGGAUACACAUUACAUAUCCAGCAUAACAACGAAACAUUUACAUUUAAAUCUCUCGGAACCUUUAUCACUAAAGCAAGUGUAGUGAUGAUGCGUAGACUGCGUAAAAAGAAAGAACACACAUUAGAUAUGAGACUCAAUAUAUACCAUGAUCAAUUGUCCGUCAUCUUCUUGUGUCUGAAUAGGUAUUGUUAUAAUGAUUUUAAAGUAAUUUGAGACAUAAUACAUGUACACAAAGAUUGUGAAGAGAGGUGAAAAGGUCGUGGAAUUUACCACUCUUUAGAGAACUGAUGAAAAAAGAAUAGAUCAAAUCUUGAAUAAAAUUAUGAUCGAGGACUACUACAAGUGGGAAAAAUGAAAGAUAUUUAUGGUUGGUUAAAGAAAUAAUAUAUUGUACGAGUAGAUAAUAUGUAAAAGAUCCCUAAAUGUGAUUUAUAUAUUAUAUUCGAUUCAUGGAGUAGCUAGCAGUAGAGAGAUUUAUUGAAUUUAUUUGUGCAAUACACCAUGAAGGAGAAGGAAGGAAGAAGUGUCGUAUAAAAUAUUUCGACAGCGAAAUGAAUAUUAAUAGAUCCAUAU
rnacentral:lncRNA from 1 species